rnacentral:rRNA from 1 species
AUUGAACGCUGGCGGAAUGCUUUACACAUGCAAGUCGAACGGUAGAGGGGGCAACCCCUUGAGAGUGGCGAACGGGUGAGUAAUGUAUCGGAACGUGCCCAGUCGUGGGGGAUAACGUAGUGAAAAUUACGCUAAUACCGCAUACGAUCUAUGGAUGAAAGCGGGGGAUCGCAAGACCUCGCGCGAUUGGAGCGGCCGACAUCAGAUUAGGUAGUUGGUGGGGUAAAGGCUCACCAAGCCAACGAUCUGUAGCUGGUCUGAGAGGACGACCAGCCACACUGGAACUGAGACACGGUCCAGACUCCUACGGGAGGCAGCAGUGGGGAAUUUUGGACAAUGGACGCAAGUCUGAUCCAGCCAUUCCGCGUGCAGGACGAAGGCCUUCGGGUUGUAAACUGCUUUUGUACGGAACGAAAAAGCUCUUAUUAAUACUAGGAGUCCAUGACGGUACCGUAAGAAUAAGCACCGGCUAACUACGUGCCAGCCGCCGCAGUAA